UACCAGCACCCCGAGUGGUCGGGACGUUUAUUGGGCCUAAAGCAUCCGUAGCCGGUUCUACAAGUCUUCCGUUAAAUCCACCUGCUUAACAGAUGGGCUGCGGAAGAUACUAUAGAGCUAGGAGGCGGGAGAGGCAAGCGGUACUCGAUGGGUAGGGGUAAAAUCCGUUGAAUCCAUUGAAGACCACCAGUGGCGAAGGCGGCUUGCCAGAACGCGCUCGACGGUGAGGGAUGAAGCUGGGGAGCAACCGG
rnacentral:rRNA from 1 species